rnacentral:piRNA from 1 species
UUGUGGGAUUGAGUGUGGCUAUUUAGC